rnacentral:tRNA from 1 species
UGGGGUUGGCUCAGUGGUAGAGCACUUGCCUAGAAUGUGCAGGGCCCUGGGUUCAAUCCUCAGCACCACAU